ACGGACGGUCCUGACUGGUAUUUUUCCCAUCUUGAGGGAGAGGGUGCCUAAUCGUAACACAACUAUCACCAAAAAUACUAGCACCCCCUUUUCUUUUAUUUUGUUUUUCUUUUUUUUUGUAUUGGUUUUCAACUAACGCUUCUUCCUCUUUUUUCAUUACUUUUUUUUCAAACCUCAUAAAGGUUGGGAAGAAGGCGGACCUCAAGGGUCGCCACACGCGUUUAGUUUGUAACUAAAUCCAAAGGCAUUUUUAUUCAAGCAUCCUCAUUCGGA
rnacentral:lncRNA from 1 species